GACAAAAAUAAGCUGACAAUCAACAAAGUAAUGUCAAACAGAGAUUUAAGCACCUGCCCUAAUUAGCACCUAUUAGACUCUCCUAAAGAGAGCUAAUAUGGUUGAAAGCUAUUGACCGACUUAAUUCACUUUCCUGUUAAAAUUUCCAGGCUCACUUUAACUUGUUAGGAUACCAUCUUCACAUUCAUUUAUUGUCAAUAAAAUAUCCACACUCUCCAAUCUUCCUCUUUGCCUCUAAGCAUGAACCUACAUCCUUCUAUCACGUCAUAUUGACCUACACCUGAAUAAUCAGCACAUUGGACCAUUUUGGAAUGUUUGGUAUUCUAGGUUCAUAAAGAAGCAAGGAGCAUGAAGGGCACAAAACUCUAUGCCUGAGAACAAGUGUACUUUAGAAAGUGUUUUUCUAGCUAUUCUGCUCAAUGGAGGCAAUCACAACCAAGCUCUGUAACAGACAUGCUGUCCUUCAGCACUUCAUACUGUGGGAUGCAACCCAAAUUGAUGACAAAGGUUGUUGUUACCAUUCUCUAGCUACUUACCUUUCUAGAGUUUUUUCAUCUUCACCACAGAAUACUGCAUACAGGCAAAUAGUCUCCAUCUCAAGGUUCUGAACCCCGUGCAACAUCUCCUAAAGCAGAAUGUCUACUGCACUGAAUCAAAGAAUACUUUGUGUGUAUGAAGUUGUUUUUUUUUACCUCCUCUAUAGUUCAUGAGCAUCAUUUGCUAAGUGUGUGGAAAGUUAACACAAGGUAAAUAUGAUGUCAGGGAGGGCACAUUAGCAGUGCUAACAGAAAUGUCCAUGUGCAUAAGUUGGAGAUGCCUUACUAAUUACUACAAAGUGAAAACACAUCCAUGAGUAGAUGUAAUCAAAUGCACUGCUCUCUAGCUUACCUAAUGGUAGAUUGAGUUAAUACACUCACAGCAGAAGCUAACCUUUGGACAAAGUCUAAAAUAUUAAUACUUCAUGCAUAAUAGAAACACACAUUAAAAACUACUAAAAACUAGAGUUAACUUUUAGAGGAUGUAACAGUAUGGCCAACAAAUAUAUUAAUAGACAGACACAGCUUGUUCCUCUUUAAAAAAGAAGUAGAAAAGAUGUCCAUGACAAUUUCAGAAACUGAAUUUUAGGAAAUCUAUUUCCAUAAUAGCUCAUGCUUCACAAAAAAGUAAAAUGAAGUAUUUUUUUAUUUUUCUCAUUUUCUUGACUUUCUAUCAUCAAAACAAAAUCCUUGGCUUUUUUAUUCAAUGUUUUCAUUUUCUACAUUAAGAUAAAAAUGCUGUUAAGAGAUGUAGCAUUUAACAGAACAUAAGCAGAUGCAGUGUAACCAACAACAUUAAUUUCAUAUCUGUUAAACUCCCAGUCUCAUAAAGAGCAAGACUUCUAAAGGUCAAGCUGGCCUAGUAAUUUAAAAGAACUUAAAUCUUGUGUUGAGCAUCUUGAUUAAGAUUUACAAUAUUUCAUUAUUAUUUCAACAGCUCUUUCUUCUACAGAGAGUUUCAUCUUUUACUUAUGAGAAACAAAAGCCUGCUCUAUUUCUCAAAAAAAUAAAAAGAAUAAACUAAGUAAUUCUAA